CCUUACUUAAUCGCCAUAUUUCGUUUGCUUUUCGCAUAUCUGAGACUAGCGUUUUUAAUCUUCCGUUUGUUUCCGUAUGAGACUUUGUUUUCUGUGGUUGCAUCGCUUCGUCGUCUCUCUUUUUUUUUUCAAAUUAUUAAGCAUGUUGCUUUGUUGUUCACAAAUUAGCCGUCAAAGUUGUUUGCUUGAAAACAAAUUAAGGGUUAGAAGUUUCUACCGGUUUUUAAUUCGGUCGGAACUUCUUCUGGGCUGAUCUAAUCUAACGUUUCCCGUUUCAGGGAACGGUGCUUUUGGAAAUUUGGGGCUUUCGUCUCCAACCUUGGAACCCCUUCGUGUUGAAGGAAACGUUGGUCUUCGAAUAUUGGGGUUUUUGUGUGCAAGCUUGCAAGGAUGCAAGCCCUUUGUGAUCAACUUCCAUGGGAUCCUGCCCUAUGUUGUUACUUCGCGGUUACCUCCAUUGGGUUAAAAAAACCACAGACGCAAUAAGUUGCAAUUUCAAUCCUACUCCUAGAUCGACUAAUUUCUCAGACGGCCACUGACUAGAGCUUGACAUUCAGAUUCAAUGGCUAGAUUGGCAACAAAUUUAUUGGGAAAUGCAUCUUCAAAGGUAUGCCUCUGGAGCAAAGUUAAAGGUAAGAGAUUAUUUUGUUAGCUUUGAUAAAAUUAUUUGUCAGCCAUUUUAGUUUUUAGCAAUUAUGAGAUUAUUUCUUAUUGAAUAUUAGUUGGCUUAAACUUUCUUACGUCUUAACUAUCAAUGUACAAACGUAACAAUCAUUUACAUAAAAUUCACAAAUUGUAGUGUCAAUUUGAAGUUAACGUAAUGAUCUUUGAAAAUGUCAAAACUCACAUUGACAUAAACCUUUUGCAUAUUUGUAAAAUCUCUUGAGAUCACCUUCCAACUUAAAAUUAAACUUAUAUUUAGCAAAUUUUAUGUAUCAGUACUAAAAUUUUCAAUACGAAACGAAACUGCAUGACUUAUAUAUUGAAGACACUGAAGUUGGGGUAAGUCAUCAUAUCACUCUCAAAAAUUUUUAUUACUUUAGUGAUUGCAAAUUUGGUUCACACUGGAAACUAUUAAUAUUCAAUGGUUUUUUAAAUUAUCGACCCAACCAAAGUGGGUUCCUGUAUUAUGUAUUUGACAAAUAGAAUUGUAAUCUUAUGUAUAUAAUUAACUAAUAAUAUGAUUUUUUUUUAUUGUUCUGGUGGUAUUAUGUAGUUGUUGUGAUUAGAGAGCUAUUUUGCUCCUUAUUUUGUACCUUAAUGUCCAACUUUUUACAUGUUUUACACUAUUAGAACCCGCAGCAACGCGCGGGCAUUAUGACUAGUUCCAUCUAAAAUCGCCUGCAACUCGACUUGAAGAGGGGAAGCAGCAAAGAAAUGCCUUGCUAGACCUAGACCUAGACCAUCAACCAACCUCCCUCUGUGGUCUCUAAUGACAACUCCAUACCCUGCCUCCUCGGAGGCUUUAUCCCAUGCACCAUCACAAUUUACUUUGAGAAAACCAGCUGGGGUAGGAGACCAUGCCGAAUGGGGAGAAAGUGGGAUGUGGGAGAAAUCACCAAGCAAUAGUAAACACGCAGAUGAAAACAAGGAAUUGCGACAAGGGUGACCGUGAGUUUCUGAGUUACCACGCAUAUGGGCACAAGGUGUCUACGUUAUGCAGAGAAAAAAUGGAGAGCAAGACUCAUAAAACACAGCAAGAUUAAAGAUUAAGAAACAAAUGCUUGUUAUUGCGUUAUGCCAUUUCUAGCUCUCCUAACCAUCCGUCUGGUCACAUAACCACUCAACAAACAUACAUUCACAACAACACAGUAAAUCACAAUUUAUACUUGCACAAGAUUUUUCAAUUGGACCAAACAUAACCCAAACAAAUGUCUAAAAAUAAAAAAUAUAAAUUUCACAAGAACACAGUAAAUCAUAAUUCAUACAAUUUCGAAAGAUUUGGAUUGAACAUCAAAUUAACCCAUAGCCAAAGGCAUUCUCUACAGAGGUUUAUGCAGUCAAACACAAAAAAAAUCACAAAAACACAGUAAAUCUGAGAAGAUUGACUGAAAUUAUAGAGUAUUACCUUCAAUGAUUGCUUGCGAAUGUAGAGAACGAAUCCAAUUCCGAAAUCUGGUGACGGAUCCCUUGCUUCCAAUUCAAUUUGAUUCAAAUGAUCUGCAUCAAAAAAAUAUGAUUAGUGCUUUUAAUAUUCAUAUCAUGAAUUAAGCUCCACAAUUGGAUUGAAAUUCGAAGAAAAAUGACCGGAAAUUACCUCACUGCCUUCAAUUUCUUUUGUUUCUUGAUUUCGAAAAUCAAGCGGGAAGAACGAAGGAACGCGAGGAAUGUUCUGCAUCAAUAAAUCAUAGUUAGGGCUUCGACAUUCAUACUAUAAAUUGAGCUACACAAUUGGAUUGAAAUUCAAAGAGAAAUGGCUAGAAAUUACCUCGUUGCCUUCGAUUUCUUUCGUUUCUUGAGAUAAAGGCCCUGUGACCCGAUCUAUAAAAGACAGACGAGUUCAAUUUUCGUCGCAUUCCUCGUGUUCCUUCGUUCUUUCCGCUCGAUUUUCAAAAUCAAGAAACGAAAGAAAUCGGAGGCGUCGAGGUAAUUUCCGACCAUUUCUCUUUGAAUUUCAAUCCAAUUGUGUAGCUCAAUUUAUAGUAUGAAUGUCGAAGCCCUAACUAUGAUUUAUUGAUGCAGAUCAUUCCUCGCGUUCCUUCGUUCUUCCCGCUCCAUUUUCUAAAUCAAGAAACGAAAGAAAUCAGAGGCGGCGAGGUAAUUUCCGGCCAUUUCUCUUUGAAUUUCAAUCCAAUUGUGUAGCUCAAUUUAUAGUAUGAAUAUCAAAGCCCUAAGUAUGAUUUAUUGAUGCAAAUCAUUUGAAUUGAAUUGGAAGCGAGGGAUCUGUAGCUAGAUUUUGGAAGUGGAAUCAGCUUCGUUCUCAACACUCGCAAGCAAUCGUCGAAGGUACUAGUUUGGAUUUCAGUCAAUUUUCUCGAAUUUACCUUUGUAGAAAAUGCCUUUGGCUGUGGGUUAAUUUGAUCUUCGUUCCAAAUUUUUUGAAAAAGCAUAGAUUCUAAUUGACCCUGUGCUGUGAAUUUUUAUCGUUAUUUAUUAAUUUUGACAUUUGUUUGGGUCAUGUUUGUUCCAAUUGAAAAUCUUGUGUGAGUAGAGUUUGUGAUUUACUGUGUUGUUGUGAAUGUAUGUUUGUUGAGUUGUUAUGUGGCUAGACAGAAGGCUAGGAGACCCCAAGAGUAGGAGAGCUAGAUAUUGCAUAACGCGGUAAAUGUAUAUUUGUUUUUUAGUCUUGAUCUUGAAUCUUGCUGUGUUUUUUGAGUCUUGCUCUCCAUUUUUCUCUCCCUUGCAUAGUGCCCGCCUGUGUGAUAUUUGAGAAACUCGCGGUCACCCCUGUUGCAAUUCCUUGCUUGCUACUUCCACAACUACCAACCAACCUCACGAUUCACAUAAUCUUUUAUUUCUGUAUGGAUCCCAAAACUUUUGACCCGCACAGAUUUUAUCCAACCCCAAUUCCACAAUCAAAGCAGGAAAAUAAAAUUAAAUGGAAAAUCGGUUAUCUUUUCUCCCAGAUAUCAGUAUCUCAGUCUGAAAUGGUGUGGUUUGGCAGUAGCAGGGCAUACAAACCAAACCCCCGGUCUAUCACCUCUCUGGACUGCUAUAUUUUAGAAACCAGGUAAGUAAAGUAUGUCAUUAGUUCAUGUAAAACCAUGCAUUAACACAGGCAAAACCCUAAUUAAUAACAAAGGUUCCCAGAUUACUAAUUGUGCAAGAAAAACUAUCAUACCUGGAGCAGCCAUUUGUUGAGACUGAAAAUGGAAUUCUUCUACUUGUUAAAGACCUUAAGUUUCAAACGUGGUAGAACCCUAGUUUGUUCAGAACAUCUUCUUUGCGAGCAGGGAAUUCAAUUACAUAGGCAUAACCUUUAUCAACUUCCAUCUAUCAUGGGGAUUGGUUUCAAGCAUUAUGAGUAGUUAGUGGAUCGUCGGCUAUUUCUUUCUGUCAAAGACAUCCGCAUCUCCUUGUUUGUAAGAAGCGGUCCACCUUUACAACUCUUAAAUCAGUUUGUGCACCAUGAUAACUACAUUUCAUCCAUAUCAUGUUAGUCAAGUCCAAUUAGGUUCCUAACAGUAUAGACAUCAAGAAACUCAUGAUUUACUGCUAAUGAGAGGGGAUGGAUUCUAUCUAACUGGGCUUUCACCCUUUGGCACGUAUGGACAAGAUGCUCCUUCGUUUACUAUUGAUUGGUAACUUCUCCCCCAUCCCACUUUCUCUCCAUUCGGCAUGUGCUCCUUUCCUAUCUGGUUUUCUCAAAGAAAACUGUGAUAGUGCAUGAGAUAAAGCCUCCCAGGAGCAGGGUCUGGAGUUGUCAUUAGAGACCACAGAGGAUCAGUGACUUUUGGAUCUGAUUCUAAGCCAUCAUUUGAGUUGGUCAAGAGCAUGAAUGGCCUCUCAAACGGGCAGGUUUACUUCUUCUCGGGGAGAUUGGCAAGUUCAAGACAUCAUUUUUCAUUACUUCGCUGGUUUUUCUUGCCUCUAUGAAUCUUGCUGUGUUUGAAGUUGGUUAUUUGUUUUGCAGCCUCGAGACAACAGAACUCCAAAUGGAACGACUAUGAUUCUGCAACAUUGUUUCCUAUAUCACAUAGGCAUCCCAUGUACAUGCCUCCUGGCAAUAGAGUCAUCUGGUAACCUCCGUUCAAAGUAAUCAAGUUGUCCGACUUGAUUCCCUCCAAGGCACAUUAGUGGUAACGUCACCCAAAGUGGAGGUGGUGCUGAUGCCCCGACAUGAUUUAUGAAGGGGUGUGAUAUCCACACAUUCUAUAUUACUUAUCAUACACCUUCUUAAUUUUCGGCCGUCGAAUCGGAAGAAUUGAAGAAGAUCAACGGAUAUAAAUUAUCAAGGGAUAGUGAGAAGUAAAAUGAGGUGUGUGAAUAGCACACCUCUUCAUGAAUGAUGGGAAGUGAAAUGAGGAAGAAAAGACUGAAACUUAGCAAAAUAUAAACCAAAAUUAACAGGUGUACUUACGUUUAUUGAAUAAUGAGUUCUUUGAUUCUUUGCACUUUUAUCAAUCAAGCAUUUCGAUUUUACGUUCCAUGUUCUUUCAAGAGUGAUUUUCUUGGAGGGGAAGGACUGAAUAACUUGGCCCCUACCAUCCAUCUCAAGUGUUGCUACUGUAUCAGCUUCAGCCAUUGUUGAUUCAUAAAGGGUAUGAUAUUCACACAUCAUAUUUUACUUCUCUCA